rnacentral:rRNA from 1 species
AACGAACGCUGGCGGCAUGCCUAACACAUGCAAGUCGAACGAGACCUUCGGGUCUAGUGGCGCUCGGGUGCGUAACGCGUGGGAACCUGCCCUUAGGUUCGGAAUAACUCCCCGAAAGGGGUGCUAAUACCGGAUAAUGUCUUCGGACCAAAGAUUUAUCGCCUUUGGAUGGGCCCGCGUUGGAUUAGCUAGUUGGUAGGGUAAAAGCCUACCAAGGCGACGAUCCAUAGCUGGUCUGAGAGGAUGAUCAGCCACACUGGGACUGAGACACGGCCCAGACUCCUACGGGAGGCAGCAGUAGGGAAUAUUGGACAAGGGGCGAAAGCCUGAUCCAGCAAUGCCGCGUGAGUGAUGAAGGCCUUAGGGUUGUAAAGCUCUUUUACCCGGGAUGAUAAUGACAGUACCGGGAGAAUAAGCACCGGCUAACUCCGUG